rnacentral:rRNA from 1 species
UACGAAGGGGGCUAGCGUUGCUCGGAAUCACUGGGCGUAAAGCGCACGUAGGCGGAUUGCUAAGUCAGGGGUGAAAUCCUGGAGCUCAACUCCAGAACUGCCUUUGAUACUGAAGAUCUUGAGUUCGGGAGAGGUGAGUGGAACUGCGAGUGUAGAGGUGAAAUUCGUAGAUAUUCGCAAGAACACCAGUGGCGAAGGCGGCUCACUGGCCCGAUACUGACGGCUGAGGCACGAAAGCGUGGGGAGCAAACAGGG